rnacentral:lncRNA from 1 species
AAUAGGAAAAAACCUAGUGAAGAAAAAAGAGUACACAAAUCUUGUAAUACGCCUUUAAUGUUGCCUCAUUAAAAACUUUACCAGGAAAAUUCGAUUGACACAAAACUUUGAUCAAGAAAUAAAGAGAACAACGCGUAUUUUGCUCCCCCUGAUGAAAACUUUAUUUGAUAAUUAUAGACGACGCAUUCCAUCUUAUAUCUCAGCUUCUCAAAUAUUGAUGUUGAUAAUGUCUUAG